ensembl:lncRNA
GUGAGUCUGAUCUUGAAGAGCCUUUUAAGCUGGGGGAGUAUUUUCCAAGAGCAAAGGGAACCGGUGAACUGUUUAACAGAGCUUGCGUUUAUGGAGCGUGAGGAACGUGGCACAGACUGGGAGCAGGCAUUCAGGACCCGGCUUCGGCUGUCAGGGAAGCCGGCGAGGAGGAAGGAGAGUGGCUUGAGCACACGGAACCCCAGACGCUGACCAACAUCUGCUGGUUCUUUCUUUCUCCUCCCCGCUCCUCAGUCACUCACAGCGCCAGCUACGUGCAGGGCCCCACGCCAGGGGGCAGGGACACCCACUGCUCCGCGCUCCCAGACCUCAGCAGGCCCUUGGUUAUUGCUCUUGCUUUUCCAGAAGUCAUGUGGAGUAAGAUAAAUAUAGUUUAUGGAUUCGCACAACUGGUUCUGCCACUUAUUAAGCACACAAGCCGGGGCAAAUCACUUAACCUUUCUGAGUUUCCCUUUCCUGAUUUGUAAAUAACUAUUAUAGCUACUUCAGAAGGCUAUUGCAAGAAUCAAAGACAAAGUAUAUAAAAACUUUAAACCUCAUGAAAGCCCUGUUCAGAUGAUGCGCUUUCCUCUCUUUGUCUCUCUACCAUCCAUGUGCUCUAGUUCUCCUAUUCUUUUCUUUUUCUCUCUCUCCUUUCAUUGUUUUCUCUAUUAAAUUAGUUCAGCAAAUAUUUCUCGUGAGCCUGUGCUAUUCAUCCAUCUAAAUGUCUGCCCAUGCUUGCUUCCCACACACACAUUCCCAUCAUGGAGCUUACUCUAUGAUCACUUAGGGACAUAGAACAAAGCUCACAAUGUAUUUUUAAGUGGAAAAUAAAACUGAUUACAAAAUAUGUUUGAUUGACAAGCAGGUGUUUUGGUGAAUAUGUGUGUGCUGUGUGAAAGGGAGCGAGAGAGAAAAAGUACAAAUAUAUUCGUCGAGCCAAAGAUUGGAAAAUAUACCUCAAAACAUUAGCAGAGUACCUCUAGAUGCUUUCAUUUGGCUUUGUUUUCCCAUUUUCUUGUAUUUUCCUGUAUUUUUCAAAUUUUCUGCCAGAAAUACAUUUGAUAAAUAGUAAAGCAGCCCAACAUGUUUUAAGAAAAAUAUACGACAUCAAAUGUUAUGAAUAAGUUAUACAUAGGAUGUUAUGGGAAUGGAUGUUUCUGAAUUAAAUGUGACUGGGUAGAAUCUCUGUGCUUAGCUUUGAAGGAUAAAAAGCUCUUUAGGAAAGACCUUAGUGAAUGGCAUUCGGGAGAAGGACCCACGGUGUGCAGACCCUGUCAGGAAACAAUGUUCUGUGUGCAGCCCCUGUCACCGGAAGUGUGUCCUGGGCUGCACUGGGAGAUGGGAAUUAGAAGCCACGCUAUGAAUCUUAGCUUUUAUCCUCUAAGUACAGAGGCAUUUAAGCAGAGGAUGUGUAUAGUCAGGCCUUCAUUCCUAUAGGUUACAGUGGUGGCAGUGUGAAAUGCAUAAUAAAGAGGUUAGAAACAGACAGGAAGCACGGAAAUUUGCCAGGACGCUAGUGUCCAAGUAAAAGACAGUGAAGGUCUGGACCAGAACAAUGUGGUGAGAAUGGAGAGAAAUAUUUUAGGGAUGAUUGAGAAUUGUUUAAGGCUUAUUUCCCAUUCUGCCUAUGUUAUACUAUAUUGUUAAAUUAGCAACAUUAUAACUUAUUUAAGAAAGUAUACUUAGGUGCCUAUAUAAUAUGCCUGCAUAAUUUUCCAGCUGGAACAAAAGUAUCAAAGGGCAUGGGAAGGCUAAGACCCAAAGACCUUGGAAGAUUUCAUAAUUUGGCGUGGGUCUCACUUCUGCAAGCCCAGAGGAGUCAGUCAGAGCUAGAAAAUGCUUCCCUCUGGUCCGAAACUAAGCUACGGGGAGACGGGAAACAGCAGAGGGCCUGAGAGACUCUGGAGGAGGACCCACCAAUGUUAUCGGCAGACAAGACCAGAUUAGCAACUGUGGUCUUGUGGGCAGUCAGAGAGCAGGCUGUGCAGUGAUGUGGCCUGGAAAGAGAGAGGAGGGUUGUGUGUGUGUGUGUGUGUGUGUGUGUGUGUGUGUGUGUGUGUGUGUGUGUGUUUGGCUUUUUCUGAGUCAUGUUUAGUCUUUAUAACAGAGACUUUCCACCUGGCAUAAAGACAGUCAAGAGUUAAGAGAGACAGCAAAGCGCCUAAGUAUUUCAUGACAGCAGGGCGCCAACACAAGUUUGCUGGCAGUGAGCAGCAGCUUGGCUGUCCACACUAAGGAGAGACAUGGGCACAGGGAGGAAUACAUUCCCGAGCUCUUCUUUGGCCCAUGUUUUUACUUUGUUGACUUAAAAAAUAAUCACCACCUAAAAACUGAGAGCUAUGUUUUAUUUGGUAGGAAUUUUUAGGACUUCAAGGCCAACAGACAGCAUCUCAAGUAAUCCUGAGAGAACUGCUCCGAGGAAGGGCAGGCGGGAAGUAAGGGGUCAGGUCAUAUAGAAGAAGUGAAGUGAAGUCGCUCAGUCGUGUCUGACUCUGCGCCCCCAUGGACUGUAGCCUAACAGGAUCCUCGGUCCAUGCGAUUUUCCAGGCAAGAGUACUGGAGUGGGUUGCCAUUUCCUUCUCCAGGGCAUCUUCCCAACCCAGGGAUCGAACCCGGGUCUCCCGUAUUGUAGGCAAAUGCUUUACCGUCUGAGCCAGAAGUUUGUAACAAAGGGCUGGUAGCCUGAACACCAAGAGAUUGUUGUGAAUUAAAGAAACCUAGAUAUCUCAAGUUAAGGAGUUUAGCACUUUUUUAUGUGUGAGAAGAUGCAGGAGUCUGCUCCCUGAAACCAUUGCUUUCAUCAUCUCAGCUGGGUUGAGUAUCCAGCGAUUUUUCACAUCCUGAGUUCUUCAGGACGCCCCACAGGGAGUGGCUGCAGCCUUACAGCUGCCAAAUCUAUGCAGGUAUUCUUCUUCUUCCUGAGCGCCCUGGAGGGCAGGAAGCCCUGAUGGCUGUGACCUCCUUGCUUAUCGAUCUGAUAAGAAAUACUUCAUUUCUCAGUCUCACCCAAGUUUUGCUUUAUGUUUGCACCAAGUGAGUAAAUGCUUUCCUAAUGAAAUUUUGAGGCUUUUUCUUAAACCCCUCUUUCUAAUCAUAUUCAUGGGAAGUGUCUAAAAUCCUCCAAGUAAGGCACAAAUCUUCUUUCAUGAACAAAGUGAAUACUGAUAUUGAAAUCCAAGAUAAGUUUUAGGUGCUCUCAGCCUUCUGGCUGGAUGUAGGCUGGCACAAGAGAAGCCUUAAUAAAAGGACUCAGGAACACAAGGAGGAUUUAUGAUAGAGCGCAAAGAGUUGGGUUUGGAGGUCUGGAGCCCUGACGUCAGCCCACAGAGGGUCACAGCAUCUUUCUCUGAAGGGCUCGCUGAGCUCAGCUGCUUGGGGAAGUCAAGCCUCUGGUCAGAUCAGAGGGGUUGAACAAACUCAGGUAGUCCCUAAGGGUCUUUUCAUUUGUAUAUUUAGAUUCCGUGGACCAGGGGGACUUAAAAUAACAAUUAUUUGCAGCUUUGCAGAAAAUUAGAGAAACCUGUAAGAGUGAGCUUUCUAUAACAGGAUAACAGGAUUUAAACUGAACCAGCACAGAAAGCCAGAGGUAGAACUCAGAAAAAUACUUUUUUCCAGUGAGGUUUGUUCUGAUUUUCAAAGGGCUGUGUCCUCCUCUAGCCCUAUAUUAAAGUAUGCUUGGUGUUUGGGAGGGCGCUGUCUUUGUGUGUUGAUUUCUUUUAAUGAUGGUGAAAAUUCUUUCUUGGGCAAAAAAGGCCAAGAGCAGAGGAACUAUAGUGAGGUGGCAGGGGGCGCUGGGGGUGGGGUGGCAGCUGUCCUCAGAUUGGAUGCCAGGAAACAACCUGUCACAUGACCUCCAAGAACCUGAAGGCUUGAGGAAUCACUUUUCUGAGAAGACUUGCCUAGCAAACACCUCACCCACAGCUUCCUCUAGCCAUAUUUGUUUGGGCUGCGCUUCUAUGAGCCAGGUCUUGUUCUGGGAGGGGCUGAAAUUGCCUGAGGGAGGCUGUAUGGGUGGAGUAAGAAAAUCUGAGUGGGAUUUCAGUGUUGAUGAGCAGGUAAAAAUUCUGUGUGUGUGUGUCUGUCUGUCGGUCUGUCUAACCCUUAGAAAAAGUUAAUUAUCAUAUUUCCAAGUACUCAGAGCAGAAUGGAUGAUACACUGAACAAUUUUGACGUUGCAUUUUGAUGCUCUGUUUGAAAUUCCCCCAGAACAAUGGCUCUAGGUCUGGUUUCUACAUUGCCUCUGAGGGUCCCCUUUUGUGAAAUGCUAAGGGCUGGACAGACUUGAGAUCCUCAGAUUACUUCUACUCCCCCACCUCCCUACAUUAUCAUUUCCCUACCAUAUUAUACAGUGAAAGAAUGUCAUCUAACUUUUUGAGAAAGACAGCUAGCUGGCAAAAUAUACCUCUUUCCUUCUCUGCGUUAGAGGCAGAUUCUGAGACCCUUCUCUAUGUCAAAAUGAUACCUAUAUUUCAAAGCACAGACAGCGUACAUUGUGAAGCCUCCUCUAAUUCUUCCAAACCCAAAACUAAAUGAAACAAACUAUAUGUGUAUAUAUACGGCUUCCAUCAUGGCUCAGUGGAAAAGAAUCUGCCUGUCAAUUCAGGAGACAGGGUUUGAUCCCUGGGUUGGGUUGGGAAAAUCCCCUGGAGAAGGAAAUGGAAACCCACUCCAGUAUUCUUACCUGGGAAAUCCCAUGGACAGAAGAGCCUGGCAGGCUACAGUCCAAAGGGUGUAAAAGAAUUGGACAUGACUUAGCAACUAAAUAAAAACAACAACAACUCUAUAUAUAUAAGGUUUCCCUCUCUUAAACUUCCAAGUGCAUUUAAGGGUACAUAGUUGUGUUUUGUUAAUCUAUGAUGAGAAUUAAGUCUAUGUCAGGUGCUAGGUUAAGUGUUUUACAUGUAUUAACAUUGUAGGGAAAUGCAACUUUUGACUCCGUCUCAUAUCUGAACAAAGAGAUCAUGUAACUUGCCCAUGACCACUGGGAAAUGGUAGAGUCAUUUAUUUCCUGUAUUGAUAGAGAUAGUACUCCAUCUUUUGCUAAGAUUUUAUUAUGUUUUACCUACCUUUUGCUUGCAAGAAUAAUUGACAUUUGUAAGGGGAUUAACAUUUUACCAUUCAUCAGCUCAUUAAUGUCAAAAAUACUUUUGUGAUGUUGUUAUUACUAUUUUCCCCACGUUUCACAGGAAGUAUGUGGAAGAAAUAGUAUUCGGCCAGCUGAUAUUUCACCCGACCUCAGGCCACUGAACUCCCUUGCCUGGCCUCCUGCAAGGUCAGCUUGGUGUUUUCAUUGCCUUUGCAGGGCUAGAACUUUUACUUCACCACAGCUACCAAAAGAUCUAAAUUAUGGUACCAGGGCAGGGGCAUGGCCCGUACUGGCCCAGGCUUAAUCUAAGAGCUACACAAAGGAGAGAGGGCUCAGAUCUUUCUCAAGUUGUCCAGGUGGUCAUCUGUAUCUGCAAGUUUUCCAUCCACAGAUUUGGAGAGCUGUCCUCACGGUACUAUGCUAGUUUAUAUAAGGGCCUUAAGAGUCCAUGAAUUUUGGUAUCAGUAGAGGUCCUGGAACCAGUCCCUCCCAGGGAUAAUGAAGGGUGUGCUCCAAUAGAAUGUAGAAUUUCCCUUUAUAUUGGAGAAUUAUAGGCUAUAAGGGGCCAGGUCAAUAUGACCAGUGGCUUUGUAUGACCAGAUCAGUAUACCCAGUGGCUUUUAUCAGCUGAAGUCUUCAUAUUGGUUUAUAGAAUGGGUCCUGCUCUUCUCUGAGAAUAGAAUGAAGAUUCAGGUCCAUUUGGCCAGCACAUACCAAGAAAAACUAAAUUGGGUUAGAGAGUCCCUUAACUGAAUCCCUGCAUAAAGGGCAUGUUACAGUUCAUUAAUGAGAAAAUGAUGAGCACUUACUAUACACCAAAAUAUAUGUGCAUAUUAGAGCUUUAGAAGUACAAUUGACCAAGAAUUUUUCCACACCUUUGGGAUUUUGUCAGUCUAAAUAAAGAAGUAAACUGGAACAAGCUCCAAUGACCAGAAAUUGAGUUUAUUUGGAAAUAGCAGAUGAAUUGCAAUUCAGAAAACAUGUACUAAUUAUGAUUGGACUUUUCUGCGGAAUAUCUAGCCAGGAGACCUGAAUCUGCUUGCAAUAAAGAAGAGAAAGUUAAAAAAAAAAAACCAAAACAGAGGACAUGUGCUGUAGCAAGUUACAGCAUAAUUUGAAGAAGCUUAUCAAGCUUAUCAAGUCAAAGCUAUGGUUUUUCCAGUAGUCAUGUACAGAUGUCAGAACUGGACCAUAAAGAAGCCUGAGUGCUAAAGAAUCGAUGCUUUUGAACUGUGAUGUUAGAAAAGACUCUUGAGAGUCCCUUGGACAGCAAGGAUAUCAAACCAGUCCAUCCUAAAGGAAAUCAACCCUGAAUAUUCAUUGGAAGGACUGAUGCUGAAGCUGAAACUCCAGCACUUUGGCCACCUGAUGUGAAAAGCUGGCUCAUUGGAAAAGACCCAGUCUUUCCCUGCUGGGAAAGAUUGAGGACACGGGGAGAAGUGGGUGACCGAGGAUGAGAUGGUUGGAUGGGAUCAUCGACUCAGUGGAUAUGAGUUUGAGGAAACUCCAGGAGAUAGUGAAGGACAGGGAAGCCUGGCGUGCUGCAGUCCAUGGGGUCACCAAGAAUUGGACAUGAUUGAGAAACUGAACAACAACAAAAAUCAAACGUAAGACUAGAACUAUUUCUUAUAGGUUUCUUUUUAUAAUUUUCACUUUAAAAUGAUUUACUUUUUUUUUUUGAAUAUCCAAUUCAUUCACAAAGAUCAGAAUUCUAAGGUGAAAGUAGGUAAGUACCAAGAAUCCCUCCCACAUUGUCACAUUCCUCAUAAAUCUCUCCAGUUUCGCUAGUGUAGGAUCUCAAAAUCGUCACUAAGUUUUAACUGUCAAGUUCCUAGCCGAGUACACUUAGCACAGGAGAUGGAUUUAUUGUGCUACGUGUCAGGAACCCUCCCUUGCUUGGGCCCUGUCUUAGCCUGUUCAGGCUGCUGUGACAAACUACCGUCGAUGGGGUGCCUUAUAAACAGUAGAAAUUUCUGCUAGCUCUGGAUGCCAAACAGCCUGAACCAAGGUGCCAGCAGGUCUGAUGUCUGCUAGAUCCCGCUUCCUGGUUCACAGUUGUCUUUUCACUGUGUUCCUACCUGCGGCAGGGGGAAGGAAACUCUCUGGGGUCUCCUUUAUAAUGUUACAGAUCCCAUUCAUGCAGGCUCCCCCCUGACGACCCAGUGAUCUUCCAAAGGCACCACAUCCUAACACCAUUAUAUUGGGAGCUAGAAUUUAACAGAUGAACUUGGGGAGACAUAAACAUUGUCUAGAGCAGGCCACUUCCAAGUCAUCUUCUAGGAACAUUAUUUUUUUCCUUCGGUAAUGAAUUUUAUUUUUAAAUUUUAAUUUAUUUUUUAUUGUUUAUUUGACUGCCUCAGUUCCUCGUUGCAUCAUGCAGGAUCUUUCAUUGUGGUGUGUGGACUCUCUCAUUGUGGCACGUGGACUCAGUGGUUGCAACACACAGGCUUAGUUCCUCUGAGGAACCCCACAGUAGGGGAACUUUUGGUCCCACACAACUUUGAGCCUCUCCUGAUAAACAGCCCAGCAGGUGUCUCAGUACUCUGAUUUACUUGCAGCUCGCCCGUCUGUCCAGCGUAAGUGACCCAAACAGCAGAAGGACGGGCCUUGUUUCUCAGUGUAUGGGCUUGGCAGUAUCUUGGCCCUUGUCCAAGUCACCAGAUACACUCUCCAUCAUUACCAUUAACAGCAACAGAUUAAAAUGCAACUAUUACAAAUCAGAAUCCACGCCAGCGCCUGAGUUGAUGAGUUGAGAGGAGAGGAGGACAGAAAGGAGAAAUCUAAAGGCAAGGUGCGGUGGGGGUGGGAGACCGCUUCUCCUUUUCUGCCCUUUCUCCAAAAACUUCCCUAGUUUGAUUUACCGUAUGCUCAGCCAUGUGUUCUCACACUCUCCUUUACCUUGAGAGCUGACUGUUAGACACACACAAGAGAAGAACAUGAAGGCCUCCAGAUAAAGUAGAUGCUGACACAAGAGAGUCCCAGUCCCUUGGUUUCUUUGACAGGGCUUUACCAGGCUGGAUGGAAGAAGGAAAGACCACCAGGAAAGCGCGUGGCUCAAGUGGAGCUAUAAACCAGCUCUGCACUCUUCCGAGGAUUUAUAUUCAACUGAAGACGCGUCCAAUGCAGGACGUUAUGGCUUUCUGCUUUCUUUUUGCUUACAUGGAGAAAUAACAGUUAAUAUAGUCAACUAUCCCAAGGCAGAAGACUAUUAUUAAAAAAGAAUACUUUGCAACAUUAUUGAUUUCUCAAGUCACUGUCAGAUAUUUUAAGAUUUGGAUUUAAUAAAACAUAAUAUGAUUUCUUUUAUGGGAUUUUUAUGUUUUCCCAGUCUUUAUCACCCUUGGGUGUUUCUUAGUUGAAAAUGAGAGUAUCUACCAAGUAUCAGCUGAACAAAUCCUGAUCUAAGUUAUAAAAACUUUUAUGGCCACACUGUCGUUUUCCUCCACUUACCUCUUUCUGUAAGCAGAUUUGUGGGGCAGGGGUCGUCCCUGGAGAAAGAGCACCAGGCAUGGCUUUCUUGACAUAAGAGGAG